rnacentral:rRNA from 1 species
CUGGCGGCGUGCUUAACACAUGCAAGUCGAACGGACCGAGUUGAUAGCUUGCUAUUGAUGAGGUUAGUGGCAAACGGGUGAGUAACGCGUAGGCAACCUGCCCUUCAGAUGGGGACAACACCUCGAAAGGGGUGCUAAUACCGAAUGACGUUUCCUGGUCGCAUGACCUGGAAACCAAAGGCCGGGCAACCGGUCACUGAAGGAUGGGCCUGCGUCUGAUUAGCUAGUUGGUGGGGUAAUGGCCCACCAAGGCGACGAUCAGUAGCCGGUCUGAGAGGAUGAACGGCCACAUUGGGACUGAGACACGGCCCAAACUCCUACGGGAGGCAGCAGUGGGGAAUCUUCCGCAAUGGGCGCAAGCCUGACGGAGCAACGCCGCGUGAGUGAAGAAGGUUUUCGGAUCGUAAAGCUCUGUUGAGAGGGACGAGAGAUAUAAUCAGGAAAUGGGUUAUAGAGGACGGUACCUUUCGAGGAAGCCACGGCUAACUACGUG